rnacentral:misc_RNA from 1 species
UUUCCGUAGGUGAACCUGCGGAAGGAUCAUUCAUGUAACCGUACCGGAUGGCUGCCUUUAAAAACCCAGGUUCGCAUUGUGUGCUAUGAUAGACCCCUAUGUUUAUGUAGUGUUUUUUCUUUAGCGACCCAUCCUUUUACGAAUCUGCCUGAGAUGUAUGAUGACUACUUAAGUCACAAUACAACUUUUAACAACGGAUCUCUUGGCUCUCGCAUCGUUAAAGAAUGCAGCAGAUCGCAAUAGCAUACGUCAGAACUCCAGUACGGCAUAGACAUGAAG